rnacentral:rRNA from 1 species
GUUGCCCGAACCUAUGUUGCCUCGGCGGGCCCCGCGCCCGCCGACGGCCCCCCUGAACGCUGUCUGAAGUUGCAGUCUGAGACCUAUAACGAAAUUAGUUAAAACUUUCAACAACGGAUCUCUUGGUUCCGGCAUCGAUGAAGAACGCAGCGAAAUGCGAUAACUAAUGUGAAUUGCAGAAUUCAGUGAAUCAUCGAGUCUUUGAACGCACAUUGCGCCCUCUGGUAUUCCGGAGGGCAUGCCUGUCCGAGCGUCAUUGCUGCCCUCAAGCCCGGCUUGUGUGUUGGGCCCCGUCCCCCCCGCCGGGGGGACGGGCCCGAAAGGCAGCGGCGGCACCGCGUCCGGUCCUCGAGCGUAUGGGGCUUCGUCACCCGCUCUAGUAGGCCCGGCCGGCGCCAGCCGACCCCCAACCUUUAAUUAUCUCAGGUUGACCUCGGAUCAGGUAGGGAUACCCGC